UACGUAGGGGGCUAGCGUUGUCCGGAUUUAUUGGGCGUAAAGAGCGUGUAGGCGGCCAGGUAGGUCUGGUGUGAAAACUCGAGGCUUAACCUCGAGAUGUCAUCGGAAACCAUCUGGCUAGAGUCCGGAAGAGGAGAGUGGAAUUCCUGGUGUAGCGGUGAAAUGCGCAGAUAUCAGGAGGAACACCCGUGGCGAAAGCGGCUCUCUGGAACGGUACUGACGCUGAGGUGCGAAAGCUAGGGGAGCGAACGGG
rnacentral:rRNA from 1 species